rnacentral:lncRNA from 1 species
AUGGAAUUUGGUAUAAUCCAAAACUACCCUAUGUUUUACUUGUCAGUGUCUUAAUUUGGAAUACUUUUCAUUUACCUCUGUUUGGACAUAAGCCCAAUGAGAUCUUCUACCAAUAUCCUCUUCGAGUUAGGCAUUCUUAUCCACCACUAUAUUUCAAAUGGACUUCCACAUAAAAGGUACUCAAUAAACGUGUGCUGAAUGAACAAAUGAGCAAAGUGUGGGGAAAUAAUAAUGUUUAGCCUGAGGAGAAAUGGAAGAUAAAAGAGCAGUUUUCAUAUAACAAAAGAUCUAUAUCAAAAAAGGAGACUUAUUUCUGUUUUCUCCAGAGAGAUGAUGUAGGAUGAAACGGCGAACAUUUCAAGAAAAAAAGGUCUGGGCUCACCAUUAGGGAACAUCUUCUCAGUCACAGGACUGUCUGAAUUGACAAGGGCUCCUUAUUAGUCACAAAAAGAUUUCUAGGAGUAGGAAGCUCUGUCCAUAAGUUAUCAGUUAACCUAAAUAUCCUCUGCUUUAUUUAUUCAUUUGUCUUUUUAGGGCUGCACUUGUAGCAUAUGGAGGUUCCUGGGCUAGGGGUCUAAUAGGAGCUAUAGCUGUCGGUCUACACCACAGCCACAGCAGCGCACGAUCUGAGUCACGUCUGCGACCUACACCACAGCUCAGGGCAAUGCCAGAUCCUUAACCCACUGAGCAAGGCCAGGGAUCGAAUGCACAACCUCAUGGCUCCUGGUCAGAUUCCUUUCUGCAGAAAUAUUUAAAGGGAACGAUAAAUUAAGGACAGGAAGAGCAUUAAAAUUAUAGUUCUGCAAGGAUCAUUUUUAAAUGCCAUCCAAUCAUUCAUUCAUCCUUGGGCAAAAGUCCACUUAAACAAAAAUCCAAAGGUCAUUAUCUUUUAUUCUCAUAAACAUCUCCACUAAAAGGCAUUCUUAAAAAUCUUCCUGCAAAACAUGUUUCAAACACUAAAGAUAUCUGUAUUAAAAACCUUUCUAUUUUAAAUGUAGUUAUGGAACACAAAUGGUAACAUUUAUUAUAUUAAAUGCUGUCAAAUAAUCAUAUAUUGAGUUAUAUUUUGAUUUGCCUAAGGGAUAAACAGAACUUAAACACUUUUUUUUCUUGGCCUUUUAAAAAUUUAUAAUUUCUAGAAUAAGCUUAUAGCAUAAGCUUAUUAGAAAAUGGCAUAUUCUCUUUUGACAAGUCCAAAGUAUCAAUCUGUAUUGCAUCAAAUUAAGUAUUUCUCAAGUGGUGAAAAAAAGUUUCUGCAUUUCCAUAAAUGCCCCAGUAUUGUAAAAUAAACAUUAUCUUUCUGCAUCAACUUAAGACAUUAUAAUUCAUGAAAUUUAAAUUAUGAAGAUCUAGUUGUUGUUUUCCUCCCAAGUCGUGAUUUUUUGUUGCAGUUAUUAUUCUCUUUUCAACCUUACCCAAUCAUAAACAAGGCAAAAACAAUCAUAGAAAUUAAAGAAAAACUAAGUUUAUAGACUGUAUAGCAUCUUUCUAAUUUAGCCACUUGAAGGUAUGGAAACCACAAAGUUAGUAAAUAUUUUAUUAUUAGUAAUCAGGAAGUAAAAGGAGAGGAAAAAUGCUAAACAUGCUUAUGAAAAUAUUAAAUUCCUAAAAUUGUGUUUAGAAGAAAUCAACUUAAGUGGUAAGGUAAGCUAUAUUUCAAAUUAAUGGUCUACUGCUAUAAAAAUAACAGCUAUAAUCCAAUCAAAGGCCUACAUUCAGUUAUUCUACAAGCAAGCAUAAAAAGAACUGGAUGACUGCCCUUUGCGUAUACUAGAGGAAAUUGUAUUCUACCAAUAUCCUAAAACAUUUAUGUUAUAUACAUGCUCUAGUAAAUGUCAGCAUAAUAUAAUGUAUGGAAAAGAGUUAAUAUAGCAGGCCUGAGACUGCCUAUCCUUAGAACAGCCUCCUUGCAAGGCUGGCCCUUGGCCAGCUCCUGGGAACUUGGCUGAUAAACAGUUCCCUAUGAUGAUAUACAAUUUCCCCUAAAUGAUAAGGAUGGCUCAUUAUGCUUGGACUCUUUGUGCAAACAAUAUGGUUUUAUGUUAAAUAUCUGUUUUCCUUCUUAGAGUCUGGGAUUUUGGUAAGUGCUAGGCAGAGGAUGCUUACGUGACCAGCCCUGAGUAAAAUCCUUGAGUGAUGAGUCUCUAAUGAGAUUCACUGGUACAUAACACUUUGCACGUGUUGUCACAAGUCACUAGAGGAAUUAAGUGUUUAACUGUGUGACUCCUCUGGGAGGGGACUCUUAAAAGCUUCUGUCUGAUUCCCUUUGCUAAUUUUGCUUUAUAUCCUUUUGCUGUAAUAAAUCUUAUCCAUGAAUAUAACAAUACACUAAAUCUUAUGAAUCCUUACAACAAAACACCAAACCUGAGGAUAGUCUUGGGGAACAAUGACAAAGACAGUUUGAGACUGUUUGACUACUAAACAUCAAUUCCCUGGAUUUACACAUUAAAGAUGUUUAUCACAUUUGCAGGUGGGAAAUGUUUAAUGAAUAUAUUGGAAGAUACAAUGAAGUUUCAAAAAGGCUGGAACAACAGAGCCAACUCUAAUGAGAUAAAUUUUAAAGGAGAUAAAGACUGUGUAAAAUAGUGUUUAAAAAAACAGACUACUCUACCUGUAGGCAGAAGGAACAUGUAUGAAAAAGACCAAGGAGUUUAUUGAAAAUAAACUCAAUACGUUAAGUGGUAAAAUGUAACUAUUAGAGAUAUCUAAUUUACUUCUGUGCUGAAUAAAAAGCAGUAUGGUAUAUAAACCAAAGGGAAAUAAUAACCCCAUUCUCCUGUUAAUUUUCAUAUCACAUAUAGAACAUUAUAUUCAUCCAUUUAAAGAAUAUAUUAGAGCACAUUCAUAGAAAAGCUGUUGAUGAGCUCCAAAAACAUAUUUUAUAAAAAAUGGUUCAAGACUAAGAAAAAGACUGGAGAUAUGAGCAAUGGUUCUACUAACAUAUACCGAAGGUUCUUGGAUAAAGUAGAAAUUAUAAUUUUUUCUAUAUAAUCACAGUGAGAAGAAAUCACAAAGAUAUUCGUUUCAAUUGAAUAUAAAUAAAACUAUCCAAAAUCCAGAGCUGUUCCCACAUGCAUUCACCCUCCUUUAAAACACAUAUUCAAAGCCUACAAGUCCACUGAAUGUGGAUUUGGGAAGGAAGAAAUCAAGUCAAGUGGAUAGUUCUGUUAAAUAAUCUUUAAUCUCUUCUAAUACACUCUCUUCCAUAGCUUCCUUGUGAACACUCUACAAAAAGUCAGGGAGGAAAAGAUUUUGAAGUAAUCUUCAGUCUAACCACAUUCUCAACUGAGUUGGGAUGAAAAGGAGACAGACCCCAAAAUACAGUUCAGUCAAACAAUUCAAUUCAAUUCAACUCAACAAAUAAAUGACUUACUAUAAGAGAGAGCACUUUGCACUCAGCUCAACAAAGAACUGAGUAGCCAGUAUAUACAAAGCACCCCAAAGAACUAGGACGAUGUAAAAGAACAGGGAGAAAAGGUACUCUUACAAGCAUCCCCAGAAUCUGAGACAUCCACACCAAGUGUGACAGCUCCAAAGUGGUAAAGCCACUCACUUGCUCACCACAGACAGCUCCAGUCACCAGUGUGGGAACCAUAUCCAUGGUUCUGUGGUUUAGAAAAAUCCCAAGGACCAAAACUGGACGUGGGGUUCUCGGCCCUUGAAGCUGAAGUCUUCAGGUCCUCAUAGACCCCAAAGGCACAGGCCUCAAAAGUCUCUGCUUAGGAAAAGAUCCUCCCCCACAGCUAUAACAAAGGUGAAAGAAUACAAGGAGGAAAAUAUUCUAAGUCUUUCUUAAACUCCAGUAUAUAGGUGGCUAUGUGGCACACACAACAUGCAACGAAUAG